rnacentral:lncRNA from 1 species
GGAUUGGUUAGAAACUAGUCAUGUUGGUAUUGCCAUAUUCAAUACUCUCAAUAUAACUAGUGGCAUUCUAUAACACCACGUGCUGGCUCCAUAUCUAAUUAAAACAAUAUAAUAUUUACAAUUAAACUUUCUUACACAAUUAAGUGAUUACUUCAUUUCUAACUGGUUAUCGCCGAACGCGCUCCUUUUUGGAUCCUCAGCCCAUACAGAAGAGGCACAUAGUACCAUCGAUUCCCAGAACAAUCUUCUAACUAGAAAUCUGCAAAUUUGUUAACCUAUAUAAUGGGACCAACUGUGCUCCUGUCUCUGUGGAAACCAUACUGGCUUUUGUGAUAUGGCUAUUGCCACAGAUAUUUCUCAGUGGAGGAUUUAGAAAUAUUCCCCCAUAUCUUGCUCAUCGCAGGUAGUAUAUUUAUGAGCCAAUAGGAAGUAGGAAGGAAGGGAUUAUUUCCUGGUUUUGCAAUACUACUCUAGCAAUUUUCCAUUCUUUAGAGACACCAUCCACGCCAGCCGCCCGUUUAGAAUUUAAUCGUCCAAUGGCAUUCGCUAACUCCUCCAUUUGGACGGUGAUACAUACAUCGUCGUUUGUUACUUCCUCGUAACUACCAUCCCGUCUCUCUUCUUCGGCAGUUAUGUUUAUUUUUGUGGUGAAAAGUGUAUCUAUAAUGCUAUUAAUUUUAUUUGAGUUUAAGUUA